AUUGAACGCUGGCGGCAGGCCUAACACAUGCAAGUCGAACGGUAACAGGAAACAGCUUGCUGUUUCGCUGACGAGUGGCGGACGGGUGAGUAAUGUCUGGGAAACUGCCUGAUGGAGGGGGAUAACUACUGGAAACGGUAGCUAAUACCGCAUAACGUCGCAAGACCAAAGAGGGGGACCUUCGGGCCUCUUGCCAUCGGAUGUGCCCAGAUGGGAUUAGCUAGUAGGUGGGGUAACGGCUCACCUAGGCGACGAUCCCUAGCUGGUCUGAGAGGAUGACCAGCCACACUGGAACUGAGACACGGUCCAGACUCCUACGGGAGGCAGCAGUGGGGAAUAUUGCACAAUGGGCGCAAGCCUGAUGCAGGCAUGCCGCGUGUAUGAAGAAGGCCUUCGGGUUGUAAAGUACUUUCAGCGGGGAUGAAGGGAGUAAAGUUAAUACCUUUGCUCAUUAACGUUACCCGCAGAAGAAGCACCGGCUAACUCCGUG
rnacentral:rRNA from 1 species